CGCCCACAUCAUGACGCCCGAGGAGAACGCGGGUACCAAACUCUUGCUGCAGGGUUUUGAGAGCCGCUUCCUAGUGGCGCGCACACUGCGCUCCUUCCCCUGGCAGGUGGGCGGCGGGGCGAGCGGAGAGGCCCGCGGGGCUCGCGGAGUCCAGGGGCAGACGGGAUGGGUCUCCGUGCUGAAACCCCCGGCGCUCCUGCCACAGCUUAGAGGCAAAGUUAAGAGACUCAUCAGAUUCUGAGCUGCUGCAGGAUAUUUUGCAGAAGACUGUGAGGCAUCCUGUGUGUGUGAAGCACCCGCCGUCAGUCAAGUAUGCCUGGUGCUUUCUCUCAGAACUCAUCAAAAAGCCCUCGGGAGGCUCGGUCACACUCUCCGAAAGCAUGGCCAUCAUCUCCCACAGCACCACGGGUCUGGUCACAUGGGAUGCCGCCCUCUACAUUGCAGAAUGGGCCAUCGAGAACCCGGCAGCCUUCACUCACAGAUGUGCUGUAUUGCCCAGAAGCCAUUGUGUCACUGGUCAGGGUCCUGCGGAGGCUGGCUGCCUGCCGGGAGCACCAGCGGGCUUCUGAGGUCUACGUGGCCUUCGCUGUCCGCAAUUGAGAGACGUGCCAGCUGUUCACCACCGAGCUAGACUCUCGCUCUGUCACCCAGGCUGGAAUGCAAUGGCGUGAUCUCAGCUCACUGCAACCUCUGCCUCCCAGGUUGAAGUAAUUCUAGUGCGUCAGCCUCCCAAGUAGCUGGGAUUACAGGUGCCCACCACCAUACCUAGCUAAGUUUUGUAUUUUUAGUAGAGACACUUUUCGCCCUGUUGGCCAGGUUGGUCUCGAACUCCGGACCUCAGGUGAUCUGCCUGCCUCGGCCUCCCAGAGUUCUAGGAUUACAGGUGUGAGCCACCAUGCCCAUUCAGAAAAAAAUUUUUAAAUAAACAAUAGCCAGAGUCCCCUGGUCAGGUGGAGAAAGUGCACUGCUCUGGCAGGGAGGCCCCCAGCCUCUGUGAGAUACUCUCCUGGAGGGCGCAUUUCAGCCUAAGGGCCUGGUCACUCAAUGACCCAAAUGGGGAUUCAGGGAGGCCCACCUCCACCACCCCUACUGUCCCCAGGCUGCCCCACCCAGUAGCCCAGGACAGGAACAUGUUGCAGGCCAGGCAAGCAGCUCACAGCUCAGUGGCCCGGACAAGCCCAGAGCUCCUCACCGCAGCCACACACCUACUUUCUAAAGCUGCCAGCAGGAUAGAGAAGUCUUCGUCCUCUAUGAGAAGAGAAUUGAAUGUCAGGGGCCUGUUUCUAGACAGCACUCUUCCAGCUCACACACCCUCCCCUUCUCAUUGAGACCGUGGCGGGGUGGGGGCAUCCAGGACUGGUAGGGGUAAGGAGAACACAGGUUGGCCAGGUGCCCGUCACACCAGCCCCAAGUGCCCCAGGGGUCGUGCAGACCUGUCCAGGUGUGCUGCUGACCAGCAGGGCUGGCCGCUCAUGGAGACGCAUCACCAGCCCGCUCCCAGCAUCCUGCUCCAUGAAGGCUGACCGCUCCAUGGCUGGGUCCUCAGGUUCUGAGCUGAAGGAGGAGAAAAAAACCCUGUGAGAGGCCACAGAGCAGGCCCAGGACCCAGAACGGGCAUCUCCUGCCAUGGCAAGGCCUGCAGGCUCCCAACAGUUGGGGUGCCCAGCCGCAUCAGCAGCACCAGGCCACCCCUGCCAAUCGAGGCAUGGGCUUGCUUUCUCUAAUAUUGUUUCUGGGUGCUAAGGUUACAACAGCAAACAAGACUGACUCAUUCCUUUUCUCCACGGGACUUACUGUCUUAUCAUCCCCUGGACUCAAGAUGAGGGUGCUAGGAUGCCCUCCCACACCACCCCAGCUUACCCAGGGGCACACCUCAGGGUAUGUGGACCUGCACAAAGGUCCCUUCCUUAGCCCCAUGAGACACCCCAGGGGACACACAGGUCCACAGAUCCUGCCACAGGCCUGGGAACCCAUUGGCAGGAGAGUAAGACAGUGCAGGGGUCCACAAACAUUUCUUAAGGGGCCAGAGAGUAAAUACUUCAGGCUUUGCAGGCCAGACGUUCUCUGUUGCAAAACGCAAUUCUGCUAUUGUAGCUCAAAGGCGGCUAUAGACAACUCAGAAGUUAAUGAGUGUGUUGUGUCCCAAUGAAACUUGAUUUACAAAAGCAGGAGACUGGCCUGUAGCCUUAGUUUGCCAACCCCUGGAUGAGUGGGUUCCCAGGUCUGCAGUGAGAAGGGGAGAGGCCAGGGCAGUGGCGAGCAGGAGAGAAGGCAGCUGAGGAUGGGAGGCCUACCAGGCCCUGAACAGAGAGUGCGUGCUGCCCACCUUCAUGAGGAGCCGGUGCUGCAGGUCCAGAGGUGCCUCUUUAAAGAAAGAUGCCAGCUUGUCGUAGACGGUCACAGCCCUGCAAUGAAAUCAUGGCAGGACUAUUGCAUUAGUCCAGCGUGGAGGCUACUUUCUGCUCAAACCACUCAUUUGGGUCCCGUGCCCAACGUCACCCAUCCUCAGCAAAACCACCAUUAUUUCCUUCUGCCUGGUUUCCAGAAAGUUCCCCUAAAGCCCUGAGGAAUCACCGAAUGAAAGGGGCUUUUUACAAACAGGAAACUUAAGUGGAGUGCCAAUACACAACAUGGAUUGCAGCAGGCUCGGUCUAAGAUAAAACCAGACGGUGGACAACAGGCCAGGUAAGACCCACAUGGUCUGCACUCCCUGGUUCUGUUAUUGUGUGGAGGAAUGUCUUAGUCUGUUGCUCCUGUGGGUGUAGCUAAAGCACAAACCAGGAGUCCUCAUCCUUAGAAAGCAGUUAGACAGACAUCUGAGAACCAAUCCCAAACUGCAGCCUUCCACAGAACCUUCUGGAACCUUCUGGAAUGCAACUUAUUACUGCCAGAGGGUCUUUGAUGAGAGUCUACUCUCCACCAUUUGUCUUCAGAGAGAAUACCCACCUAUUCUCUUUCCGUGGAAAGGUAAGUUAUUGGAGUUUAUGCAGUCUGGUAUAUUAAUUGAGAGCUUUACUUCAAAGAAUGUCACGUUUAUGGUUCAGUCUCACAGACUGGGUUAAAAAGGCAGUGUUGACUAUUAAGUUGUAAAUUACUAUGAUGAUCAUUAUUAUUGAAGCAAGCUGUGAGAAAUGAGCAUUAUCUUACAAUAUCUGCAUUUUAGUGAACCUGAAGGAAGAGUGUAUUGCUGGAAUUACAGAAGCCUGAGAACCACAGGGGAAUUCUCACUGCAGGGUAUUCAGGGUCAAAAGCUGAUUCUAUUUUGCAUGCUCAAUCCUUCGUCAAUUUAUUUUUAUUUCUUUCUUUAUUUUUUGAGACAGGGUCUUACUCUGUCGCCCAGGCUGGAAGGCCUUGGUGCAAUCUCAGCUCACUGCAACCUCGCCUCCCGGGUUCAAGUGAUUCUCCUGCCUCAGCCUCCCACGUGACUGGGAUUACAGGUUUUUGCUUGUCUGAUGACUGAUGGCUCCACCCAGACCUGCCAACCACUCCCGCGGCCCCAUCCAGAAGUGGCUCAGCGUGCAUGAGGACCAUCUCCAACAUCCCUGUGAUUGUACCCCCAACCAACCAGCAGCAAGAACCUAUUGCCUAGUCACCUCCCCUCUCUUUCCCCAACUAUCAUUGAAAAAGUCUGGCUUCCAAAUUUUCCGGGAGACUGAUUUGGGUAAUAAUAAAACUCCAGUCUUCUGUUCAGCCAGCUCUGCAUGAAUUAAGCUCUUUCUCUAUUGCAAUUUUCCUGUCUUGAUAAAUUGUCUCUACCUGGGCAGGGGGCAAAAUGAACCCAUAGGGUGGUUACAGUACCUUGCUGGGUCACUUGAUAUUCCUGGAGGGUCACGGGAAGCGCUAUGUGAAUCCCACUUCUGAUAUUGUAAGAUUCUCUCCAGGGCCUGAAAGCUUAAGGGGUUGAGCAACUCCUCCCUUCUCAGGCCCAGCCCCAGGGCGCAAGGCCGCUUGCAUCAGCAGCGUGCGUGAGCAGAUGCGCCAGCAAGAUAGCAAAAGCAGGAAGAGAGCCAGCCGGAAGACAAGUACCUCUGAAGAUGGAGAAAGAGGCCAUCUGGGUACAACGUUGCAGUUACGUCAGACCAGGACACUUCCUGUUUACAGGAGACUAUAAAACCUUUGCCCCAUCCUCACUUGGGGCUGACGCCGUUUUAGGCCUCAGCCCGCCAGCACCCAGGCUCUCAUUAAAACAGCAUGUUGCUCCACA
rnacentral:lncRNA from 1 species